rnacentral:rRNA from 1 species
GCGAAAGCGUGGGGAGCAAACAGGAUUAGAUACCCUGGUAGUCCACGCCGUAAACGAUGAGUGCUAAGUGUUAGAGGGUUUCCGCCCUUUAGUGCUGAAGUUUAACGCAUUAAGCACUCCGCCUGGGGAGUACGGCCGCAAGGCUGAAACUCAAAGGAAUUGACGGGGGCCCGCACAAGCGGUGGAGCAUGUGGUUUAAUUUCGAAGCAACGCGAAGAACCUUACCAGGUCUUGACAUCCUCUGAAAACCCUAGAGAUAGGGCUUCUCCUUCGGGAGCAGAGUGACAGGUGGUGCAUGGUUGUCGUCAGCUCGUGUCGUGAGAUGUUGGGUUAAGUCCCGCAACGAGCGCAACCCUUGAUCUUAGUUGCCAUCAUUAAGUUGGGCACUCUAAGGUGACUGCCGGUGACAAACCGGAGGAAGGUGGGGAUGACGUCAAAUCAUCAUGCCCCUUAUGACCUGGGCUACACACGUGCUAUCAUGGACGGUACAAAGAGCUGCAAGACCGCGAGGUGGAGCUAAUCUCAUAAAACCGUUCUCAGUUCGGAUUGUAGGCUGCAACUCGCCUACAUGAAGCUGGAAUCGCUAGUAAU